AAGACCUUAGUAAAAUAAUUACAUAGCCCUGUCAGAGCUAAAGUAUAAGCUCAUAACUUAUAGGUCUUA
rnacentral:tRNA from 1 species